UAAGAUGAUCAGCCAUGCCGCGUGCAGGAUGAAGGUCUUAUGGAUUGUAAACUGCUUUUGUAAGGGGAGAAUAAGAGCUACGUGUAGUUUGAUGACGGUACCUUAUGAAUAAGCAUCGGCUAACUCCGUGCCAGCAGCCGCGGUAAUACGGAGGAUGCGAGCGUUAUCCGGAAUCAUUGGGUUUAAAGGGUCUGUAGGCGGGCUUGUAAGUCAGAGGUGAAAGCGCUCAGCUCAACUGAGCAACUGCCUUUGAAACUGUUGGUCUUGAAUGAUUGUGAAGUAGUUGGAAUGUGUAGUGUAGCGGUGAAAUGCUUAGAUAUUACACAGAACACCGAUAGCGAAGGCAUAUUACUAACAAUUGAUUGACGCUGAUGGACGAAAGCGUGGGGAGCGAACAGGAUUAGAUACCCUGGUAGUCCACGCUGUAAACGAUGGAUACUAGCUGUUUGGUUUAAGGAUUGAGUGGCUAAGCGAAAGUGAUAAGUAUCCCACCUGGGGAGUACGUUCGCAAGAAUGAAACUCAAAUGAAAUUGACGGA
rnacentral:rRNA from 1 species